GACGAACGCUGGCGGCGUGCUUAACACAUGCAAGUCGAACGGAAAGGCCCUGCUUUUGUGGGGUGCUCGAGUGGCGAACGGGUGAGUAACACGUGAGUAACCUGCCCUUGACUUUGGGAUAACUUCAGGAAACUGGGGCUAAUACCGGAUAGGAUCUCCUGCUGCAUUGUGGGGGUUGGAAAGUUGCGGCGGUUGGGGAUGGACGCGCGGCUUAUCAGCUUGUUGGUUGGGUAGUGGCUUCCCAAGGCUGUGACGGGUAGGCGGCCUGAGAGGGUGACCGGCCACCUUGGGACUGAGAGACGGACCAGAGUCCUACGGGAGGCAGCAGUGGGGAAUCUUGCACAAUGGGAGGAAGCCUGAUGCAGAAACGCCGCGUGCGGGAUGACGGUCUGCGGGUAGUAAAAAGCAUUAGCCUGUGACGCAGCGUGAGUGACGGUAAUGGGUAAAGAAGCACCGGCUAACUACGUG
rnacentral:rRNA from 1 species